GACCGGGCGUGCGGUCCCGCUCCCCGUAAUGUACGGAGGUAGAAGAAAGGGCUCUGGCCCUCUCGGCG
rnacentral:misc_RNA from 1 species